rnacentral:ncRNA from 1 species
CCGUCACCCCAAGGUGUCGGCUUCGAGCGAGGCAUGUUAGCCGUGCGUCGCGAGAGGGAACCCGGUGAGAAUCCGGGACUGUCCCGCAGCGGUAUGCAGGAACGACCGCCGUCUACAAGCACUGGUCACCGACCGGGAAGCGACGGCCAGUAGGAGCACCCACCGGGUGCGCGCCUGCGAGUCCGAAGACCUGCCGGCUGUGCCGGACGCGC